rnacentral:rRNA from 1 species
GACGAACGCUGGCGGCGUGCUUAACACAUGCAAGUCGAACGGAAAGGCCCUGCUUUUGUGGGGUGCUCGAGUGGCGAACGGGUGAGUAACACGUGAGUAACCUGCCCUUGACUUUGGGAUAACUUCAGGAAACUGGGGCUAAUACCGGAUAGGAGCUCCUGCUGCAUGGUGGGGGUUGGAAAGUUUCGGCGGUUGGGGAUGGACUCGCGGCUUAUCAGCUUGUUGGUGGGGUAGUGGCUUACCAAGGCUUUGACGGGUAGCCGGCCUGAGAGGGUGACCGGCCACAUUGGGACUGAGAUACGGCCCAGACUCCUACGGGAGGCAGCAGUGGGGAAUAUUGCACAAUGGGCGGAAGCCUGAUGCAGCGACGCCGCGUGCGGGAUGACGGCCUUCGGGUUGUAAACCGCUUUCGCCUGUGACGAAGCGUGAGUGACGGUAAUGGGUAAAGAAGCACCGGCUAACUACGUGCCAGCAGCCGCGGUGAUACGUAGGGUGCGAGCGUUGUCCGGAUUUAUUGGGCGUAAAGGGCUCGUAGGUGGUUGAUCGCGUCGGAAGUGUAAUCUUGGGACUUAACCCUGAGCGUGCUUUCGAUACGGGUUGACUUGAGGAAGGUAGGGGAGAAUGGAAUUCCUGGUGGAGCGGUGGAAUGCGCAGAUAUCAGGAGGAACACCAGUGGCGAAGGCGGUUCUCUGGGCCUUUCCUGACGCUGAGGAGCGAAAGCGUGGGGAGCGAACAGGCUUAGAUACCCUGGUAGUCCACGCUGUAAACGGUGGGUACUAGGUGUGGGGUCCAUUCCACGGGUUCCGUGCCGUAGCUAACGCUUUAAGUACCCCGCCUGGGGAGUACGGCCGCAAGGCUAAAACUCAAAGGAAUUGACGGGGCCCCGCACAAGCGGCGGAGCAUGCGGAUUAAUUCGAUGCAACGCGUAGAACCUUACCUGGGUUUGACAUGGAUCGGGAGCGCUCAGAGAUGGGUGUGCCUCUUUUGGGGUCGGUUCACAGGUGGUGCAUGGCUGUCGUCAGCUCGUGUCGUGAGAUGUUGGGUUAAGUCCCGCAACGAGCGCAACCCUUGUUCACUGUUGCCAGCACGUUAUGGUGGGGACUCAGUGGAGACCGCCGGGGUCAACUCGGAGGAAGGUGGGGAUGACGUCAAGUCAUCAUGCCCCUUAUGUCCAGGGCUUCACGCAUGCUACAAUGGCUGGUACAGAGAGUGGCGAGCCUGUGAGGGUGAGCGAAUCUCGGAAAGCCGGUCUCAGUUCGGAUUGGGGUCUGCAACUCGACCUCAUGAAGUCGGAGUCGCUAGUAAUCGCAGAUCAGCAACGCUGCGGUGAAUACGUUCCCGGG